UUCUUGGAACUUAAAACCACUUUUAGAUUCCUGAGCCAGUUUUUAUAAUUAGUUUCAAUUAGUUGGUUGGUUUCAAAUAUGUGAGCUAGAGGGUUAGAAGCUGAUAUUUUGUUAUUACAUAGAGUAAAGAUUCUAGUUAGAUUUUUGUAUUUACUUUGAAACAUUUGUUUUAGGAUCAUUGUUGCCCAAAGAUAGCAACCCAAGAGGGGGAGGGAUAAAUUGGAUUCUUAAAAAGAUUUAAUCACAUUACACUCUAAAUACAUAUAUGCUUUCUUAACUUAAUUCAACUUAAUAUGAUUGUUUAGUGUAUGC
rnacentral:lncRNA from 1 species